UCCAAUCAGAAAAGGUUUCCCUGUGUGAGAUUUUCUGUAGGCUGCAGAUCACUUUGCCAGUUCCCAGCUGGGUGUUUCUGAGCAGGAUCAGAGCUGCCAUCUUUUGCAGCCCAUGACAUUUGCAGUGCCUGUGCCUGUGUGGUUUGGGCUGUGGGAGGUGGGAGGUUCCCUGUUGGCAGCAGGAACAGCCAGCAGGGCUGGGAGCAUCUGCAGGAGGGUGGGCAAGGCUGGUGAGCAAAAGCCUGCUCCAAGUCAGCUCAUCCCAACAGGAAAGGCUGCUCUGAGUCACAUUCAAACCACAGGAGGCACUGCCUCCCCGUAGGACCCUUCCCUACCAACCCACCGGGAUGAUGCUCAAGUACAGAACUACCCUCAGACUGCCUCUCUUUCCAGAAAGGCCUGAUUUUAUAAAUGGAGAAGGAUCAGUGGCUGUGGUCAUUUCUGUACAAGACACUAAGGAGAUUAUUCCUCACUGGCUGAUCCUAAUGAGGAAGAGUAAAAUGCUGUUAAGUCUUUGAGUAAAUCUCCUUGCAGAAUAAACCUCUCAUGCGCCAUUUGGAUGGCAGUGGCAGGGAUGUCAUUUGAUGAACUGGAAAUGGGUUGGAAUCUAUAGAUUCCUGAAUUCUAGUGCCACCUGUGACACCAAGAAGAAACAUCAUCUUGGUCAGAUGCAUGAGCACCUCACAGCACUUGAACUUGCCUGCUCUGCUCCCAGGCAAGGAUAACCAGCCAAGGGAUCACUGUGCAAACAGAGCUGUCCUGCCUGCAGUGCUGCAGCAAACCCGUUCAGAGCUGCCUCCCAUCGCAGGGUGUGGGCACACCUUUGGAAAUCCAGCACAGAAUCCUUCCAUGCCAUUUAACAAGGUGGUGCUCUUGCUAUCCGGAGACAUCAUCCAAAUAGCUGAGGGAUGUUCCCUUCACAUAUACCUUCCUGGAAUUCAGGAAAGAGAAAUUAUCUUUCCAUUUUCUAUCUGAACUCUGAAUGAUUCAUUUCCCAAGAUUUCUGUAUUUGCUUGUCUGAGCCACAGCAAAAAGAAAGGGAGAGCAAGCUGUCAGGGCAACAGCAAAAACUGCUCUUCACUAAAACUAGGGAAUGACUGAGAAAGGAAGUGCACAUGGAGCGUGCUGAGUAUGGCAACACUUUUUUCAAAAGUUCCCUGCUGAAGGCUUUUCAUCCUCUCUGUUUGUUGGCCUUGCUCUGAAGGUUAAAACCUGGCAGCAGCAGCAGCUAAAAUCUGUGCUGGACCAUCUUUGAGCACUCCAGAGCACAUCCCACCUCCUGCCCACACUUCAGGGGGGCACAGACCCUUCCUCAGCUGGUUCUGGGCUCUCUGGGAUUUAAUCAGGUGAGGAGAUUGUGGAAGCAGAGUGGUGUUUCUGCUGCCAGAGCUCACAGGUUUUGCAGUCUGAAACUACACCAAAAUAUAUUUUGGGUUCCAAGACAAAAGACAAGCUACUUGCAGAAUUGUCCAGCUUUACUUUGUCUCCUUCUUGAAGUGCUUCUAAGCUGAAUAUAAUGAAGAUCUAUUCUAAGAAUUCCUAAGGGAUCUCUUUACACAGGAUCUGGAACUGAUCCAUGGGUUUCAACACUUUAACCAAUGCACCGUCUAAUAUUGAUUUCCUUCAGAACUCAAAGCAAUUUGUUUUUCUUCCCUGGAGACUUUGGGUUUCUACCUUUGGCGGCAGUCCUUGAAUUAAUAUGGAAAUUGAGAACACUUAGGACUGGUCUCACAUGCAGGCACAACGUGCAGUCUCAUGGAGCCAGGUGUUCAUUUGGGCACUCAGGAUUCCUCAGUGUCCUCUGGCAGCUGCACAACUCACACAGCUCUUUCCUCACCCCGCUCUGAGCUCUUGUCAGAGGAGCAGAACACUAAGUGACUUAUUUCUGGUCUCUUUUUUUCUUCCUCCCUUUCUUUUGAUCACUCUUUCUCAUGCCACAGGAGAAAAGGCCAGCACAGUUCUCUGGAAAUUUUCUUGGACUGGUGAGGUAAUAAGGAGCUGAUUACAAGCCAGAAGGCAGCUCCAUGGAAAGCAGCCAUCUCUCCCAUCAUUAAUCCACAGUCACCCACAGGUGACUGUCUAGCAAGCCAAAAGUUUCAGAUUUACAGCUAAAGCCUAAUACCUUUCUGCUAAUCAGCAUUUCCAAGCUGCCAGUGAGUGUGAUCAUGGCCUGGGAGAGGCUUCCCUCCACCCCUUGGCACUCUCAGGGCAGAGUGGCUCUCACUUGCUUUGCACCACAGAGACCUGGAGGUGAAACACUGGGGAAUCAGAUGUCCCAUGAGGGUGUUCCAUGCUGGAAUUCCUGCUGUGAGCCUCAGUAUGGCAGAGGCCUGAGGAGCUUGUGCUGUGCACGUGUGGAUUGAAAGGAGCACAAAGGGACACACAGCACCACGAGAGCAUUGCAGCAGUUCAGGUCAUCAAAGUCCUCCUUUUCGAUGGCACGUGAUCUUGUGAAUUUGUCAUGGUGCCAGAGGAGCUGAAACAAUUCCUCUGGGACACAAAGAGACAAGUGCAGGCAGGAUGUAACCUGUUAGGAUCAUAUCCAGCCUCAUUUGAAGGGUAAGGCUCUUGGUGGUGUUAAAUGACAAUCUGUUCUGAAUUUAUCCUGCCCAUAUGUCAUCAGUAACAACCUACAAAACACACCUCUCAUUUUAGAUCCAAGUUUGCAUCUGUUCCAAGCAAAACAUGUGCCAUCUCCCUGUAUAAUCCUAGCAAGUCUAUAUUAGAUGACACAGGAGUAAGCUGAAACAGGAAAAAUUCAUUUUGGUAUUAUGGGAAAAUUAAUCACAAAUCUCAGUCAUUUUGACCUGGCUUGGCAUGAAUAUAAAAUCUCACAAGAGAAAUGCCUCAAAUGGUUCCAUGGCAUGUGCAGGGCUAUUGUAGCUCUGGUACUGUCCCUCAGCAGAAACACUCUGCUGCUUCAGCUGUGAUUUGUCCAUCUGUGUUUGGCUGCUGCAUCAUACAGGUAAAGAGCAUCUUUAAGAUAAGAAUCCAAGCUGUGAGCAAUUUAUCCCUGGAUACUGAGGUGCCAAUAGCUGAUAAGGUUUAUGAGAGGUUACAACUUCAAAGGAAUUGAUUUGCAAUUGUUUUCUAUUUUUAAAUAUGUAGCUGGACAUCCAGUAUGAUCUACAGAAGUAUCUGACAGGUUUACAGGCUUCAUUUACAUUGACUAAACCAAUGUUUAGGUGUUUCUAUAAAUCUUCCUGGCCAUUUGUCUUGAUCUCUAGGCAAGUGAGUGCUUUGGAAAGCUGAAAAAAAAUUAAGGCCUGAUUUUCAAAAUCUCACGUCUCAUGUGACAUCAAUGGUCAGAAAUGAAAAAUGCUCUUUUCUCAGCAUCCUGAACUCUUGCAAACUCUACCUAUUUGCUGUCAUAAUUUGAUAUCUAUUUUUUCACAAAUUUUGAAUUUGUAAUCUGAAAGAAGUCAAGCCAUAUUGCAUAGCAAUCUGCAAUCCCAGGAUAUAAACAUUAUAACACCAGUAUUUACCAUUAAAUGAGGAUUUUUUUACUGUUACAGUGAUGCAGUAAAGUAAAAUUCUGCUCUAAAUAAAUCUUGUUGGUGCUUUUUUUGUUUAGCCUACUAAUUUUCUAUAUCAAAUACACUCUCUUUACAUCUUAAAAUAUAUUUUAUAAAGACAGAAUCGUCAGGGAAAAAAUCAAACACCUUUUCAUAUGUUCUUGUCAAGAACAAAACUUCUGAAGGUUGGACUCUUCAGACUUCUAGACCAAUGCCACCCCUGUGCCUUCAGGGAGACCCUCAAAGGGAUGCAAUGAAAAUGUAGUGAUUCUUCUGUUGUACAAAGUAGUAAUAUAAACAAAUUUUCAUCCUCUUAGAUGUAUCAGUUCCAGGAGGAAUGGGAGAGCAAAAGUUUACUUGCAGAUCUAGGUGAGCAGCAAGGUGUUGAACAAGGAGGUGUCAUGAGAGCCCAUCAGAACAAGCCUUUCUUAAAGAGUUGAAAUAACUGUGUUUUAUUCAAUAUUCAGAAGAGAUUUGAAUUUCCAAAUAUUUUUCUAAGGGAUCUUGCUGCUGAGCUGGCACUGAAAUUCCAAGUUGCAGAACCAAGGAAGUGUUUUAAGAUCCAAUUACAAUGAAAAAAAGAAGGCUAAUUAUGUCCCACAGAAAUGCUGACACCAGCACAAACCCAGCCACGUUCCCAAGUACUGCCUUUGUUAAUAAUGUUCUUUUUUACACUUUUUGAGGUCAUGCAUGACGAAUUUUUUGCUGGCAUGAAUAUUAAUAUAUUUUAGAGUUUCCUUCUCUUUUCCCAUCAUCCCUUCUUCCUGUUAGCAUGUCAAUACGAAUCAAAAUCAGGCCAAAGUGAUCUUCAUGCUAAAACCUGAGCUGUGUCAUAAUUAAAAUGAUAUUGCUGAACUGUGCUGUGCUCUGAUAUAUUCUGCCAACUUACUGAGAGUGGCUGAAAUGUGCUGCACCAUUUCAUCCAUCUGCUCCCCAAACCACAAGCCUCCCUAGCAGGAGAGAUGGAGAGAUGCUACGAGCUCCCCCUUGUUUCACAAGGCUAUAGUUAGGGCUGCGAGCUCCUAUUUUUGGACACUUCAGCGACUACUGUGAGAGUUUGUGUGAUGAGGAAGGGAAAAUUCACAUCUUCCCAAAUUAGCAGCCCCCACGCACCCGUUUUCCUGCUCUUUGUCCCAUUUUGCACCAGCUGCCCCUGCGAGGGUACAAAGAAGGUGGCAGCUGAGUGUAGCCAGUGUGACAUGCUGAAGGAUCUAAAUGGCUCCUCACAGGAGCUUCAGGGUGCCUAAGAGCAUUAGGGCUACAGUCUGGCCUGCAAUUUAUUUUGUCUGUUUUGCCAGAAUUUCAUUGGUUCUCUGGUGUUUCUCUAAAACUAGGAUCGAUACUUUAAAACCAGACAGUGCGGUCAGAAAUAUUUUUGGGACAACUUCAUAAUUCAAUAGAAAGUAAGGAAAUACUCAGGAAGUUUAAAAAUCCCUAAUUUCUUAUAUUCAAACGCCAAGUUUAUAUUUUAAUUUCACAGUAAUUUGAGUUCAUUUUAAUGAGAUUCCAGGAUAUUUUAAAAAUCAGUAAGGACCUAGAAAUGGCUUCUUAUUAGAUGAUAAGCACAUAUUAAUAUUACUUGAUCCAGUAUAAGAUUUCCCAAUUCAAAAUAACCCAAAUGCAAUUUAAGCUCAAUUAUACAUGAAAAUUACUCAAAGAAUGUAGAGUUUAAAAUUUUUCAAUAAAUUAUGUACAAAAUUGAGCCAUUCCGCGACGUUGUCACAAAUGCAACAUGUCAAGGACACCAUGUUAAGAAAAAUUGUGGGUGAAUAUAGAAAACACAAAGUAUAAUUAAUUCCAGCUGCUUUUAGGCUCACAUUUUUUCUGCCUGAUUAAAAUUUAACUAAAAUAAAUUAAAAAUAACAGGAAAAAAAUUGCUCAGCAACCUGAAACCUCUUCCUAAGCUUUGUGCACUUGCUGAAGUUUUCUUCCUGUAGUUGUGUUGACUUCAAAUAGAUCAGAGCUGUAAUUUUUCUGGUGGAUAAAUGGCAGAUAAAUGGAAUUUUUGUGAUGCUAUGAGUAAGAAAAGGUGGAGAAUAGACCGAGAGAUUUUGUGUUCCUGGUAGAGCACCCAACACUCGGGGGGAUGCCC